rnacentral:rRNA from 1 species
AUUGAACGCUGGCGGCAUGCCUUACACAUGCAAGUCGAACGGCAUCGCGGGAAAGCUUGCUUUCCUGGCGGCGAGUGGCGAACGGGUGAGUAACACAUCGGAACGUACCGGCUAGUGGGGGAUAACCCGUCGAAAGACGGGCUAAUACCGCAUACGCUCUUCGGAGGAAAGCAGGGGACCUUUGGGCCUUGCGCUAGCCGAGCGGCCGAUGUCCGAUUAGCUAGUUGGUGGGGUAAAGGCCUACCAAGGCGACGAUCGGUAGCGGAUCUGAGAGGACGAUCCGCCACACUGGGACUGAGACACGGCCCAGACUCCUACGGGAGGCAGCAGUGGGGAAUCUUGGACAAUGGGGGCAACCCUGAUCCAGCAAUGCCGCGUGGGUGAAGAAGGCCUUCGGGUUGUAAAGCCCUUUCGGCAGGGAAGAAAUCGGCGGGGCGAAUAACCCUGCUGGAUGACGGUACCUGCAGAAGAAGCACCGGCUAACUACGUG